UACGAAGGGUGCAAGCGUUACUCGGAAUUACCGGGCGUAAAGCGUGCGUAGGUGGUUCGUUAAGUCUGAUGUGAAAGCCCUGGGCUCAACCUGGGAAUGGCAUUGGAAACUGGCGACCUAGAGUGCGGUAGAGGGUAGUGGAAUUCCCGGUGUAGCAGUGAAAUGCGUAGAGAUCGGGAGGAACAUCCGUGGCGAAGGCGACUACCUGGACCAGCACUGACACUGAGGCACGAAAGCGUGGGGGGCAAACAGG
rnacentral:rRNA from 1 species